rnacentral:snRNA from 1 species
AACGCUUCUCGGCUCUCUGAGCUAAGAUCAUGUGUAGUACCUGUUCUUCGCAGUGUAAUUUAUGCAACGGUCUCUAAACUGAGACCAAUGAAAUUACCUGUAUUUUCUCCUUAC